UACAGAGGUGGCAAGCGUUGUUCGGAAUUACUGGGCGUAAAGGGCGCGUAGGCGGUCCGGUAAGUCCUGUGUGAAAUCCCUCGGCUCAACUGAGGAACUGCACGGGAGACUGCCGGGCUUGAGUUCGGGAGAGGGAAGCGGAAUUCCGGGUGUAGCGGUGAAAUGCGUAGAUAUCCGGAGGAACACCGGUGGCGAAGGCGGCUUCCUGGACCGACACUGACGCUGAGGAGCGAAAGCCAGGGGAGCAAACGGG
rnacentral:rRNA from 1 species